UAGGUGACCUGCCCUGAAGUGGGGGAUAACAACUCGAAAGAGUUGCUAAUACCGCAUGUGACCACCGAUUCAUUUCGGUGCUCAAAGUCGCAAGACGCUUUAGGAGGGGCCUGCGGCGGAUUAGCUAGUUGGUGGGGUAACGGCCUACCAAGGCGUCGAUCCGUAGCUGAUCUGAGAGGAUGAUCAGCCACACUGGGACUGAGACACGGCCCAG
rnacentral:rRNA from 1 species